UACGGGAGGCAGCAGUGGGGAAUAUUGCACAAUGGGCGAAAGCCUGAUGCAGCUAUGCCGCGUGUAUGAAGAAGGCCUUAGGGUUGUAAAGUACUUUCAUCGGGGAGGAAAAAACAAAACUAAUAAUUUUAUUUCUUGACGUUACCCGAAAAAGAAGCACCGGCUAACUCCGUGCCAGCAGCCGCGGUAAUACGGAGGGUGCUAGCGUUAAUCAGAAUUACUGGGCGUAAAGAGCACGUAGGUGGUUUUUUUAAAGUUAGAUGUGAAAUCCCUGGGCUUAACCUGGAACUGCAUUUUGAAACUGAAAUACUAGAGUAUCGUAGAGGGAGGUAGAAUUCUAGGUGUAGCGGUGAAAUGCGUAGAUAUCUGGAGGAAUACCUGUGGCGAAAGCGGCCUCCUAAACGAAUACUGACACUGAGGUGCGAAAGCGUGGGGAGCAAACAGGGAUUAGAUACCCGU
rnacentral:rRNA from 1 species